ACAGAGGGAGAGAGAGAGAAGGAGAGAGAGAAAGAGAGGUGUGGGGGUGAGCUGGACUGCAGUGAUUAUUCCUACACUAUGGCCAGAUUUUCUUUUUUCUGCAGCAAUAAUCCCCCUCUCUAGCACUGCAGGACAUAGAGGAAAGACUAGCAAUGUGUGGAAUAUAUGAUGGACCAGCUUUUCUCUUUUUGCCUCAGAAUAAUGAUGCUAUGUUGAAUAUUAAGGUACAGUAAAAAAGGAAGAACGAUAUAUGGUCUGCAGUCCUUCAGUGUUCCAGCUACCUCCACCCUAAUAAAGACCAAUCCAGUGGGUCAACAAGAAAUAGUUUAAAGAGUCAAUUUAUCAACAGGAUAAAAACGUACCAUCACUGCUUCAUGACGAGAAAAAGCAGGAAGGGCUUACUGAAGAUAACUACUGUGUACCCCAGGAGUUUCUGCUGAGAAUAUAGUUUUGUAAAUUGGAUUACCAGGGAUACAGCACUAUAAGCAACAGAAACUCCAUGGAUGAUGAUGGACUUUCUUGACUUUUGUUCUGAGCUUCAGCCAGAAUGCCAUGGACCUACAGCAUUUGGAAAUGGAGAGGGAAUAACACGAAAACCUUGGCAGCAGCCCAAGGGAAAAAGUGACACAGUCAACAAAACAGGUACUAGUUCUCCACAGCACCACAACCAGGAAAGAAAAUAGCCUCCACCCUGCUAAUGAUCCCUCAGGGGAGGCAGCGUCAAGAGGCAACACUUGCUGCAGCAGAGAGAAGCCACGGCUGCUGCUGCUGUUGCGGCACACAGCAUCAGGCUAAGAGUAUCCGCAGCCUACAGCCAUCAACUCAUCUCAGUGGGUGAGGAUGGAAGCCUCCCCCCAUGGGAACUCGGCUGACUCAGGGAGGGAGGGGAACAACUUUUCAGUGAAAACAAACCACCGAGCUUCCCAGAACCCCAGUAAUGUCUAUGCAUUCUCCAGAGAGGAUUUGCAGAAAGACAGGAACAAACACACUCAAACAGAAAGAUGCAUAGUUGGAAACAUCAUUUGAACAUGACAUUUCAUGGUGAAAACAUAGGACAGAGGGCUCAAGAAGCUCUCGGGUUCCUCUCACUCUGCUUUUUCAUAACUUCUUUGUCUCCCUCGCCCCUGCUGAAUGCUUAGAGCCAGCUUCUGAGCCCCCUCACUGAAGCUGGUAGAAACAAGUAAGGAGGCAAAAAGGGACCACUUACUCCUCUUCCAUGAUUUUUUUCUCCCCUUUCACACUUCUAUCCCACUUCAGCCACUGUCUAACCAGCCUGCAGUGACAGCCACAAAAAAUGUCAUUAACUACUUCUCCUCCCUUACCUUUUUCUCACUGCCAAGAGAGCAUCCAGUAAUUCUUUCCCUGAGAAACCUUUGUCGUCUCAGAUGGAGAGCAACUUUUCCAUUACUUUUUCCCACUCCCUGAUUCAGCCUCUGCCAGAGGACAGUGUGCAAACACGAUGUUCCACAGAUUUGUUAACCACAGAGUGCUACAUUCAUUUAUGACAGGUAUGACCUGGGAGAAAAAUGAAGAGGGAAGAAGGAGGAAGCAUUUGAUAAGCCAGUAAUUAAAUGCUAACAUGUUGAAUCUCCCACUUUGCUCUCACUGCUUUUGAAGGCAACAAAAUCCCCACUGGUAUUUCCUAGGAAUCUCUAUACAUACAAAAAAAUUAUCUGAGGCAGGCAUUCCUUACAAUAUAAAUUAUCGUAAUGGCAUCAGACCACAGAUCCAUCUAAUUCACCUGGCAGUAACUAAAACAAGGUGCAAGAACAAGGUAAACACAGUGGUACUUUCCUAAAUGCUCUUCCAAGCUCCAACAAUUUGUGGCUCAUGAACUCCCCAACACAUACAAUCCCAUGCAUUUAGUAUCCCUAACAAACUUAUUUUUCAUGAACCUGUCCUGUAUCCCCUUGAGCUCCCAUACACUGCAGCAUCCAUAAUACCUGAGGCAAGGAGUUCCACAGUUUAACUACACAUAGUAAUGAAGAAUCACUUCUUUUUGUACCUCUGCUCAGCAGAGCUUCCUUUGAGCUUUACCUUGUUUGAAAAUCUGGCAGUUGCAUAUGCAUAUGAAAAACAGUGGUUGCUCCUAAAAAUUUGUGUAAAUUUUACCACACUAUUCCACAGUUCCUGCUGGAAAUAGGAGAAAGAACUAAGAAACAAAAAAAACAGGGGGGGAGAAAAAGCCUAGGCAAUGAGGAAAGAAGGCAACUGUAGCGAAGCAGGUCAUUGUAUCAAAAAAGAGAAUCUGUAAUUCCUACUUUAAGGGCACAAAGAAGUCUGCCAGAGAAGUUUACACAUCUUUUGACUUUCUGCCCAAGUAUCUCAGCAAGUAGAAAGAUGUUUUAAAUGACAGGCCCCCCUCUCUCCUGACUGCAUACUUGGAGACGUUUAGAUGCCAUAUUUAUUCCAUCAGGCUCAUGAAAUAAGUCACACCCAACAAUUGUGCUCCAGAGAUGCCCAUUUCAGACAGUAGGGUCUGAGUAACUAGCAUGGAGGUCUACGGUCUUCCCAGUUUUGGUUUAUCCACCUCCCACUUGGACCAUAUCUCAACACAGACAGGGAAGGCGCGCAAAGCUGUCCACCCUUUUAGAUGACUCUACAGUCCUGAUGGAGCAACAGCUUGGGGCACACACUGCAGUUAGCCACCCACACACAUAGGUUAAUGCACUUUUUGGUGAUUCAUAAACACAGAUCUAACAGCAGAAUCAAGCCUUUUGUUCAUUAUUUUGGACUGAAACAUCAGUUAACAUUUUUUACAGAUGACUGUCAAGGCAAAAUCCUGGACUGAAGAGUCCUGCUUAUCUAAAACGAUUUUCAGCUACACCCUUUAAGGCAAAGCCAUGUCUAUUAAAAGAAAUAAAGAAAAUCCCAGAAUCAUAAUCCUGGAACAUUCAGCUGCAUACUGUACUCCAUGCAGUCCAUUAUGUCUAGAUUUUGCAGGGAUCCUCUGUAGAGCAAAUGCUAUUACUGUGCUACAUAAUCCCUGGUCACUGUGGACUAGUUAAGGAUGGAUUUGUACAGUCUUAACUGCAAAUUCUUCUGCUUUUGGGUGUUCUUGCCGAAUCUUUAAUAACAUAGCUUUGAAGUUUAAUUACUCUCUUAACAGCUGUGACCAUUAUACUUGAGAUGUAUACAAGAUGAGUAAUAAGCUUGUAAAGUAGGAGUUAAAUUUAACCAACACGGGAAAACAUGAGGAAAGUUUUAUUCAUCGAUAGCUUUGACAAAAUUAACUUUAGUGUCAUGCACAUCAAGUCCAAUUUUCAAAUCACUGGAGAUCUGCCCUCUCGGCCCUUCCAGAAAAUUCUAUUCAAUCACUAAUUAUGAAAGAGAGGAAGAGUUGCCAAUCAAAGCGGCCGGGGAAGGAGUGAGGGGGCAAGAAGAUUCACAACGCCAGUUAACUUUACUACUAAUAUAAUGGAAAAAACAUGUGCAGAGCAGCCACCCAGAAGAUGACUGCCCACAGAAUUCUGAAGAAAGAGUUACAUCAGAAGAGAAGAUGGCCACGGAAGAUUACAUUGGCACACAGCUCGACUAAUCUAAUGCACAGAGCUAGAAUGAGAGAGACUAUGGACACAGAAAAACUGCUCUGACAUAGAGAUAUAUUGCCACAUUCCCUUUUUUAGAGAAAGGGGAAAGGCAGCCUAUGUGUCAGCUAACAGAGGACAGAUCUUUAUGAGGGAAGCAUUUCCAUAAGAUUUUAUAUGAUCGAUCAUUUUCUUUGACCUCCCCACAAUACUGUGAUACCCUCAGAACUAAACGGCUCAGAUUUGCAAAAAGAACACAAAGGGAGACACUGGAAAUGCACAUCCAAUCAGCAAUCUCCUUUUCUAUCUUUACUGUUGUUUGCCUGAUGACAUAGAUACAGUUUUAGGUAAGAAUGUACAUUGAAAAAUGCAUGUACAUGGAAGUACAGGACUCCAAUAGCCCCUCUACACCAUUGUCAAUGCGAAGCAUAAACACAUUGUGGCAUAGAGUUCAUAUAGUCAACAAUAAAUACAAAACUACACAUGUAGACUGCAGUUCUGCAACUGCGUUUUCUUAGGCACCCACCUAUAUUCAGCCAGCAUCAUUUGCAAAGUAAGGACAUAUUAGCAAACAGGACUACAGGAUUUAUUUUCUCAACAAUAUUUAGUAAGAUA